AAGCAUCCACCGGAAGAACGGAUAUCGUUGAUGUCGAUAAAUAUAAGAUUAAAUUUUUGAUGCUUAC
rnacentral:tRNA from 1 species